rfam:Limnohabitans planktonicus II-D5 scaffold00002, whole genome shotgun sequence.
GGGGCGUUAGCUCAGUUGGUUAGAGCAGAGGACUCAUAAUCCUUUGGUCCACGGUUCAAGUCCGUGACGCCCUA